rnacentral:rRNA from 1 species
AUACUUAGGGUGCAAGCGUUAAUCGGAAUUACUGGGCGUAAAGCGCUCGUAGGCGGCUUGUAAAGUCGGAUGUGAAAUCCCCGGGCUCAACCUGGGAACUGCAUUCGAUACUGGCAGGCUAGAGUAUAGUAGAGGCAAGUGGAAUUUCGGGUGUAGCGGUGAAAUGCGUAGAUAUCCGAAGGAACAUCAGUGGCGAAGGCGACUUCCUGGGCCAAUACUGACGCUGAGGUGCGAAAGCGUGGGGAGCAAACAGGAUUAGAAACCCCAGUAGUCC